rnacentral:sRNA from 1 species
CGGUGUUCUGAUCCCAGAAGGACAUGCUCCUCCCCUAGCCUGCUGUGAAGGCUUAUGUGUUCCUCUAACUCAGAAUCCCCUUAGUUGGACUCCUUGGGCCUCACCAGGAAGACCUCUAUCCUUUGCCAACUCCUGACUUUGGCACCUUGCAUUUGGUGACUGUCUAGCACAGUAGGUUAGGUAGCCGGAGACCCUGACUGGUAGGCCUGAGGCCGCUCUGCCUGUGGCCUGACAUGCUCUCUGUCCUGCUCUAGAUCAAUGGCAUUGCACUGGACAACAAGUCUCUGAAUGAAUGUGAAUCUCUGCUGCGGAGCUGCCAGGACUCCCUGACCCUGUCCCUCCUGAAGGUGUUCCCUCAGAGCUCCUCGUGGAGUGGCCAGAACAUUUUUGAAAAUAUCAAAGACUCUGAUAAGAUGCUGAGUUUUCGAGCCCAUGGCCUGGAGGUCCAGGCUCAUAACAAACGGAACUUGAUACAGCACAAUAACUCCACACAGACAGACAUCUUCUACACGGACAGGCUGGAAGACAGGAAGGAGCCAGGCCCCCCAGGAGGCAGCAGCUCCUUUCUGCACAAGCCAUUCCCUGGGGGACCCUUGCAGGUCUGCCCCCAGGCCUGUCCCAGUGCCUCUGAGCGUAGCCUGAGCUCCUUCCGCGCAGAUGCCUCUGG